CCAGAAUCCAAUCAAAAUGUCACAUGAAUGGAGCACAUGUAAUUCACACAUUUUCAUCAAUACAAAAUCACCACAGCCUUCAUGCUACAUGGCAGCAGCAGCUAGGACUUCAUAUUAUGAUUUCUUGAUGUGGCAGCACUACCGCCGAUGGCCGGCCGCCUCGGCUUCCUUCCCUGGCGCGGCAAAAAGCAAGUGACAGAUCCUCUCGCAUGGGUGCAUUAAAGAAGAUGACGCAGUAUUGGAUUCCCACAGGGAUCUUCCAAAGAGGGAUCCAUGGCCGGUUGGGACCACAGGCGGGAGCCAGGCGCGUGGACCUUGGACCGGGAGUGAAGAAGAGAUUGGGGAGAAUGUGGGUUCCCAAGGUGAAUUUGAACACCUGCAACUUUACACCUUUGGCGCCUUCCCCAGACUGUUGUGGGGCUCCUCCUUCUCCUGUUGCUCAAAGGGAGGAGGCCACUGAUGUUGCUCUAGGUCCCCAGGUUACACUUAUCCCCCUGGAGGAUCUGCCUACAGUUGUGGCUACUGAGAAUCUGGUUGAUCUUGAAGAGGGUGAUGGGAGGAUUUCUCCCUGCAGCCCAGUUGAGGAAUCUGAAAGUAGGUUGGCACCUUUGAACCCUGUGGUGAGAGCACACUCUGCUGGCUGUGACCUUCCAUCCAUAGCCGCAAAUACGGGUCUGAGAGUGUAUGCUAGGAGGAGACUUGAGUGCAAGAAGGCAGACAUGUUGCAGGACCAUUAUGAUAAUGUACCCCAUGAGGAUCCGUCGACUGUUUCCCCAACAUUGAUGGCCUUUGAAGUUAAUGUGCUUUCACCCCCACAUCCUAAUUCUGAGAAUUUGGUCCUGAAUGCCAGUGUAAAUGAGGUGGAACAGCCCGGUGAUGUUGUUGAACUGCCAAGUUUUGAUCAUUUGUCGAUGACACCACCACCUUUGCAAGGCUGCUCCCCCACUCCUUGUCUUGUGUACUCAAGAAUGAGGCUCAAAAAGAAGCUGCUGUCAGAUGACAAUGAAGAAGGGGUGAAUGUUGCUUCAAAUGAGAGUGAUGAAGGUAUGGGUCAUGGUUCCCAGGUCCUUCCAGUUUGCAGCAGAGUUGUUGUCCCUCCUGUUCCUCAUUUG
rnacentral:misc_RNA from 1 species